GCCUCUAUGGUCUAGUGGUACGAUACCUGCUUUGGGAGCACUGAUUACGUAAGUGGCAACUCUGCAGGUGGCCCGGGGUUCGAAUCCCCGUGGAGGCC